rnacentral:SRP_RNA from 1 species
GCCGGGCGUGGUGGUGUGCGCCUGUAAUCCCAGCUACUCGGGAGGCUGAGGCAGGAGAAUCGCUUGAACCCGGGAGGCAGAGCUUGCAGUGAGCCGAGAUCGUGCCACCGCACUCCAGCCUGGGCAACAGAGCGAGACUCUGUCUCAA